CACCUCCCUCCUCUCUCUCUCUCUCUCUAGUUGGCCCUCUUUGUAGUCUUCCACAGCUUUCUUGAACUGCAUCCAUCCUUGAAAGGGAGGGGCUUCCAAUUGCAGUUCAAUAAAGCUGUGGGAAAUUACAGAGAGAGACCAAAGAAGCUGAAGAAGUUUAUCACCUCCAUUCAUCUCUUUAGAGUUGAUGGGAAUUUAUUCAUGGAUUUCUCUUUCGGUAGAGUUUACUUUCCAUCAGUACAAGUGAGUUAUAAUGCUCGGACUAUCUGAUGGUUUUUACCAUAUAAUGAAAGCUAUCAAAGAGAACAAUCCCAAGAUAUCCACAAAAAUAAAGCAGUCUUGUGGGAUAUGGCACAUCCCUCUCUCUCUCUCUCUCUCUCUCUCUCUCUACAACA